rnacentral:rRNA from 1 species
AUUGAACGCUGGCGGCAGGCCUAACACAUGCAAGUCGAACGAGUGGCGGACGGGUGAGUAAUGUCUGGGAAACUGCCCGAUGGAGGGGGAUAACUACUGGAAACAGUAGCUAAUACCGCAUACCAUCGGAUGUGCCCAGAUGGGAUUAGCUAGUAGGUGGGGUAAAGGCUCACCUAGGCGACGAUCCCUAGCUGGUCUGAGAGGAUUACCCGCCACACCGGAACUGAGACACGGGCCAGACCCCUACGGGGAGGAGGAGUGGGGAAUAUUGCACAAUUGGCGCAAGCCUUAUGGCGCCAAGCCGCGUGUAUGAAGAAGGCCUUCGGGUUGUAAAGUACUUUCCGCGAGGAGGCGUUACUCGCAGAAGAAGCACCGGCUAACUCCGUGCCAGCAGCCGCGGUAAUAC